rnacentral:rRNA from 1 species
UACGGAGGGUGCAAGCGUUAUCCGGAUUCACUGGGUUUAAAGGGUGCGUAGGUGGCUUUGUAAGUCAGUGGUGAAAGCCCGGAGCUCAACUCCGGAACUGCCAUUGAUACUGCUUAGCUUGAAUCACGUCGAGGUGGAUGGAAUAAUACAUGUAGCGGUGAAAUGCUUAGAUAUGUAUUAGAACACCGAUUGCGAAGGCAGCUCGCUACACGAAUAUUGACUCUGAGGCACGAAAGCGUGGGGAUCAAACAGG